ensembl:snRNA U6 U6 spliceosomal RNA
GCUCAAUUCAGCUGCACAUAUACUAAAAUUGGAACAAUAUAGAGAAAAUUAGCAUGGGCCUGCACAAGGAUGACAAGCAAAUUCAAAAAUAAAUAAAUAAAUAAU